rnacentral:rRNA from 1 species
GACGAACGCUGGCGGCGUGCUUAACACAUGCAAGUCGAACGGUAAGGCCCUUCGGGGUACACGAGUGGCGAACGGGUGAGUAACACGUGGGUGAUCUGCCCUGCACUUCGGGAUAAGCCUGGGAAACUGGGUCUAAUACCGGAUAGGACCACUGCCUGCAUGGGUGGUGGUGGAAAGCUUUUGCGGUGUGGGAUGGGCCCGCGGCCUAUCAGCUUGUUGGUGGGGUGAUGGCCUACCAAGGCGACGACGGGUAGCCGGCCUGAGAGGGGAACCGGCCACACUGGGACUGAGAUACGACCCAGACUCCUACGGGAGGAAGCAGUGGGGAAUAUUGCACAAUGGGCGCAAGCCUGAUGCAGCGACGCCGCGUGAGGGAUGACGGCCUUCGGGUUGUAAACCUCUUUCAGCACCGACGAAGCGCAAGUGACGGUAGGUGCAGAAGAAGGACCGGCCAACUACGUGCCAGCCGCCGCGGUAA